UUUUAUGCAUACUCCACAUACUGUAGCUCAAGGUUAACAAACUUUCUAAAAUUAGAGGUAAAACCAUUAAGACAAAUACAAA
rnacentral:lncRNA from 1 species